rfam:Myotis lucifugus cont2.16995, whole genome shotgun sequence.
GGCAGUUCUCGGGUGAUGCACCCCGGAAUCGGGCUCCCAUCUCUCUGGUUCUGGGUAUGUCACUCAAGAACCACA